UACGUAUGUCGCGAGCGUUAUCCGGAAUUAUUGGGCAUAAAGGGCAUCUAGGCGGCCUUUCAAGUCAGGGGUGAAAACCUGCGGCUCAACCGCAGGCCUGCCUUUGAAACUGAUAGGCUGGAGUACCGGAGAGGUGGACGGAACUGCACGAGUAGAGGUGAAAUUCGUAGAUAUGUGCAGGAAUGCCGAUGAUGAAGAUAGUUCACUGGACGGUAACUGACGCUGAAGUGCGAAAGCCGGGGGAGCAAACAGG
rnacentral:rRNA from 1 species